rnacentral:rRNA from 1 species
UACGUAGGGUGCAAGCGUUGUCCGGAAUUAUUGGGCGUAAAGAGCUCGUAGGCGGUCUGUCGCGUCGGCUGUGAAAUCCCGGAGCUCAACUCCGGGUCUGCAGUCGAUACGGGCGGACUUGAGUACUGCAGGGGAGACUGGAAUUCCUGGUGUAGCGGUGAAAUGCGCAGAUAUCAGGAGGAACACCGGUGGCGAAGGCGGGUCUCUGGGCAGUAACUGACGCUGAGGAGCGAAAGCGUGGGGAGCGAACAGG